AGUGAACGCUGGCGGUAGGCCUAACACAUGCAAGUCGAACGGCAGCACAGUAAGAGCUUGCUGUUACGGGUGGCGGGAGGCGGGCGGGUGAGGAAUAUAUCGGGCUCUACUUUUUCGGAUGGGUUAACGUAGGUAAACUUACUCCAAUACCGCAGACGAUCUUCGGUUGAAAGCAUGGGAACUUCUGACCUGGCGCGGUUGAAUGAGCCGCUGUUGAAUUAGCUGGUUGGGGGGGUAAAGGCCCACCCAGGCGACGAUACGUAGCUGGUGAGAGAGAAGGAUCAGCCACACUGGAACUGAGACACGGUCCAGACUCCUACGGGAGGCAGCAGUGGGCAAUGUUGGGCAGUGGGCGGAAGUCUGAUCCAGCCAGACCGCGUGGGUGAAGGAGGCCUUCGGGUUGUAAAGCCCGUUUGUUGGGAAAGAAAAGCUUCCGGUUGAUACGCCGCUGUUCUGACGGUACCCAAAGAAUAAGCACCGGCUAACUUCGUG
rnacentral:rRNA from 1 species